UACGUAGGGGGCAAGCGUUAUCCGGAUUUACUGGGUGUAAAGGGAGCGUAGACGGCAGCGCAAGUCUGGAGUGAAAUGCCGGGGCCCAACCCCGGAACUGCUUUGGAAACUGUGCAGCUGGAGUGCGGGAGAGGUAAGUGGAAUUCCUAGUGUAGCGGUGAAAUGCGUAGAUAUUAGGAGGAACACCAGUGGCGAAGGCGGCUUACUGGACCGUAACUGACGUUGAGGCUCGAAAGCGUG
rnacentral:rRNA from 1 species